rnacentral:rRNA from 1 species
UACAGAGGUCCCAAGCGUUGUUCGGAUUCACUGGGCGUAAAGGGUGCGUAGGUGGUUAGGUAAGUCCGAUGUGAAAUCUCCAGGCUCAACCUGGAAAUGGCAUUGGAUACUAUCUAGCUUGAGGAGUGGAGGGGGGACUGGAAUUCUCGGUGUAGCAGUGAAAUGCGUAGAUAUCGAGAGGAACACCAGUGGCGAAGGCGAGUCCCUGGACACUUCCUGACACUGAGGCACGAAAGCUAGGUGAGCAAACAGG